AGAGUUUGAUCCUGGCUCAGGACGAACGCUGGCGGCGUGCUUAACACAUGCAAGUCGAACGGUGAAGCCCUUCGGGGUGGAUCAUUGGCGAACGGGUGAGUAACACGUGAGCAACCUGCCCUUCACUCUGGGAUAACUAUCGGAAACGGUGGCUAAUACCGGAUAUGACGCAUCCAGGCAUCUGGUGUGUGUGGAAAGUUUUUCGGUGGGGGAUGGGCUCGCGGCCUAUCAGCUUGUUGGUGGGGUGAUGGCCUACCAAGGCGACGACGGGUAGCCGGCCUGAGAGGGCGACCGGCCACACUGGGACUGAGACACGGCCCAGACUCCUACGGGAGGCAGCAGUGGGGAAUAUUGCGCAAUGGGCGGAAGCCUGACGCAGCGACGCCGCGUGGGGGAUGAAGGCCUUCGGGUUGUAAACCUCUUUCAGCAGGGAAGAAGCGGAAGUGACGGUACCUGCAGAAGAAGCACCGGCUAACUACGUGCCAGCAGCCGCGGUAAUACGUAGGGUGCAAGCGUUGUCCGGAAUUAUUGGGCGUAAAGAGCUCGUAGGCGGUCUGUCGCGUCUGCUGUGAAAACUCGGGGCUUAACUCCGGGCCUGCAGUGGGUACGGGCAGACUAGAGUGCGGUAGGGGAGACUGGAAUUCCUGGUGUAGCGGUGAAAUGCGCAGAUAUCAGGAGGAACACCGGUGGCGAAGGCGGGUCUCUGGGCCGUAACUGACGCUGAGGAGCGAAAGCGUGGGGAGCGAACAGGAUUAGAUACCCUGGUAGUCCACGCCGUAAACGUUGGGCGCUAGGUGUGGGGCUCUUUCCACGAGUUCCGUGCCGCAGCAAACGCAUUAAGCGCCCCGCCUGGGGAGUACGGCCGCAAGGCUAAAACUCAAAGGAAUUGACGGGGGCCCGCACAAGCGGCGGAGCAUGCGGAUUAAUUCGAUGCAACGCGAAGAACCUUACCAAGGCUUGACAUGGGCGGUAAUCCGGCAGAGAUGUCGGGUCCGUAAGGGCCGUUCACAGGUGGUGCAUGGUUGUCGUCAGCUCGUGCCGUGAGGUGUUAGGUUAAGUCCUUUAACGAGCGCAACCCUUGCCGUUAGUUACAAGUGUCUAGCGGGACUGCCCGGCUCAACUGGGAGGAAGGUGGGGAUGACGUCAAGUCAGCAUGGCCUUUAUAUCCUGGGCUACACACACGCUACAAUGGCCGGAACAAU
rnacentral:rRNA from 1 species